GGGCUUGUAAUGGUUUCGACAGGGAUCAUGAAGUCGGAGAAGCGUGCCGCACGGGAUGCGUCAAAUUCCAAACCUAAAAUUAAACGCUGAAGAUAAUUUAGCAUACGCAGCCUAGCUGCGUGACGCAGUCUUAAGACUGCCUGUCUGAUCCGGAGCACCUGCACUCCGGAACCCAGGCAUCGACGAAUGCAGGAAACGACACCGGUUAAGCUUUGCGCCGGUGGGCGUACGAUGAAGCUACUGAAGCCGGAACUGUGCUUGUGGAGGUCCGGCGGAGGGAAUGUCAAAGCAUAAGCUAAGCACGUAGAAGUACGGCAGAGUGGUUUUUGGACACGGGUUCGAUUCCCGUCAGGUCCAUUC
rnacentral:tmRNA from 1 species